CCUACGGGAGGCAGCAGUAGGGAAUUUUCGUCAAUGGGCGCAAGCCUGAACGAGCAAUGCCGCGUGAACGAGGAAGGUCUUCGGAUCGUAAAGUUCUGUUGAAGGGGAAAAAGAGCGGAGAGAGGAAAUGCUUUCUGAUUGAUAUUACCCUUCGAGGAAGUCACGGCUAACUACGUGCCAGCAGCCGCGGUAAUACGUAGGUGGCGAGCGUUAUCCGGAAUGUUUGGGCGUACAGGGUGCGUAGGCGGCCUGCUAAGUCUGGAGUGAAAGGUAACGGCUCAACCGGUACAGGCUCGGGGAACUGGCGAGCUAGAGAGCAGGAGAGGGCAGUGGAACUCCAUGGGUAGCGGUAAAAUGCG
rnacentral:rRNA from 1 species